rnacentral:rRNA from 1 species
CCUACCGUGCAGUCGAGGGGUAACAUUUGUGCUUGCACAAGAUGACGACCGGCGCACGGGUGCGGAACGCGUAUGGAACCUGCCCCUGUCAGGGGAAUAGCCCAGAGAAAUUUGGAUUAAUGCCCCAUGGUAACAUUAUAUCGCAUGAUAUUUUGUUUAAAGAUUUAUCGGACAGGGAUGGCCAUGCGUACCAUUAGUCAGAUGGUGAGGUAACGGCUCACCAUAACUACGAUGGUUAGGGGCCCUGAGAGGGGGAUCCCCCACACUGGUACUGAGACACGGACCAGACUCCUACGGGAGGCAGCAGUGAGGAAUAUUGGACAAUGGGCGGGAGCCUGAUCCAGCCAUGCCGCGUGCAGGAUGACUGCCCUAUGGGUUGUAAACUGCUUUUAUACGGGAAGAAACGCGCCUACGUGUAGGCGUUUGACGGUACCGUAAGAAUAAGGACCGGCUAACUCCGUGCCAGCAGCCGCGGUAAUACGGAGGGUCCGAGCGUUAUCCGGGAAUCAUUGGGUUUAAAGGGUCCGUAGGCGGGCCAUUAAGUCAGGGGUGAAAGUCUGCGGCUCAACCGUAGAACUGCCUUUGAUACUGGUGGUCUUGAGUCGUUGUGGAGUGGCCGGAACAUGUGGUGUAGCGGUGAAAUGCAUAGAUAUCACAUAGAACACCGAUCGCGAAGGCAGGUCACUAACAACGUACUGACGCUGAUGGACGAAAGCGUGGGUAGCGAACGGGAUUAGAUACCCCGGUAGUCCACGCCGUAAACGAUGGAUACUAGCUGUCGGGACCUCGGUCUCGGCGGCCAAGCGAAAGUGAUAAGUAUCCCACCUGGGGAGUACGUUCGCAAGAAUGAAACUCAAAGGAAUUGACGGGGGCCCGCACAAGCGGUGGAGCAUGUGGUUUAAUUCGAUGAUACGCGAGGAACCUUACCAGGGCUUAAAUGUAGUGGGACAGGCUUAGAGAUAGGCUUUUCUUCGGACUCAUUACAAGGUGCUGCAUGGUUGUCGUCAGCUCGUGCCGUGAGGUGUCAGGUUAAGUCCUAU